rnacentral:rRNA from 1 species
CAGUCGCCGCGGUAAUACAGAGGGUGCGAGCGUUAAUCGGAUUUACUGGGCGUAAAGCGCGCGUAGGUGGUUUGUUAAGUUGGAUGUGAAAUCCCCGGGCUCAACCUGGGAACUGCAUCCAAAACUGGCAAGCUAGAGUAUGGUAGAGGGUGGUGGAAUUUCCUGUGUAGCGGUGAAAUGCGUAGAUAUAGGAAGGAACACCAGUGGCGAAGGCGACCACCUGGACUGAUACUGACACUGAGGUGCGAAAGCGUGGGGAGCAAACAGGAUUAGAUACCCGGGUAGUCCCUGUCUCUUAUAC